rnacentral:rRNA from 1 species
CUACUGGGGUAUCUAAUCCUGUUUGCUCCCCACGCUUUCGUGCCUCAGUGUCAGUAAUAGGCCAGGUAGCCGCCUUCGCCACCGGUGUUCCUUCCGAUAUCUACGCAUUUCACCGCUACACCGGAAAUUCCACUACCCUCUCCCUUACUCGAGUCAUACAGUCUUAACUGACCUUCCGAGGUUGAGCCCCGGGCUUUUACAGUUAACUUGUAUCACCACCUACGCACCCUUUACGCCCAGUAAUUCCGAUUAACGCUUGCACCCUCCGUAUUACCGCGGCUGCUGGCAC